rnacentral:rRNA from 1 species
AGAUUGAACGCUGGCGGCAUGCCUUACACAUGCAAGUCGAACGGCAGCACGGGAGCAAUCCUGGUGGCGAGUGGCGAACGGGUGAGUAAUAUAUCGGAACGUGCCCAGUCGUGGGGGAUAACGCAGCGAAAGCUGUGCUAAUACCGCAUACGAUCUAUGGAUGAAAGCGGGGGAUCGCAAGACCUCGCGCGAUUGGAGCGGCCGAUAUCAGAUUAGCUAGUUGGUGAGGUAAAGGCUCACCAAGGCGACGAUCUGUAGCUGGUUUGAGAGGACGACCAGCCACACUGGGACUGAGACACGGCCCAGACUCCUACGGGAGGCAGCAGUGGGGAAUUUGGACAAUGGGGAACCCUGAUCCAGCCAUCCCGCGUCGUGCG